ACAAAUCCCAGAAUAGUGAAAAAAUAAAUACGACAGCGUCAGACAGUCCUUUUAUUUCAUUAUUGGGCCUGUGCAGGGAAAACGUUCCAUGUUGUUUUAUGCUAUUUAAAUGGACCGCAUUGAGGGAGGUGAACAAAUUGCAUUUAGGCCUAUUCAGACAUUUUAAAUGUUGGGAGACUUCUUUCAAUGCCUAAUCAAUCAAUCAAUCAAUCAAUCAAUCAAUGUCUUGUGUAUUCGUAGGACUAUGUAAAUGUGAAAUGACGAAGUCACAAGGCCCCGUACCAGAAAAACCUGUGAAGUUCCCCCUGCUUUUGUUUUACUAAAAGAGAGAGAGAGGAAGGAGAGAGAGAGAGAGAGGGGAAUAGAGAGGAGAGCUGAGCAUACUGGUGAGUACUUCAAUCGUCAUUUAACCUGCAAACACCGUAGUAGGUAACUGUAUCUUCUACAGUUUGAGGCCAGGAGCUGAGGACGGCCAACAGUCUGCAGGUUGUCAUUCACCAGCUGUUUCCACGAGUUACCUCACCAUCAACCAGGGGAGCUGAUUAUUAAAGUCAGCAAGUUGGGUUGCAACAGAAACCUUGCAAGUUCGUCCAAGAACCUCGUGCAAUGGCGUUUUCAUGUCAUAUGGGAGUUUGUGAUUCGACGGUUAAACUUGCUUUCAGAAAAAUACAUUUUCAUAACACAAAGACUUUUACCAAUCACCGUAACUCCUAUAUGAAAUGAACACAGCAUGACCUUAAAGAGACUAGAACUAAUGGUGCGUUCAGGUGACCUUCGUGAACAUGUAAAGGAAAGCAUCUCCAAAUUCUUCACCAAGUUACCCAUAAUUAUUUUUAAAUGUGUAAAGUAAAUAAAAUGGAGGACUGGGGUAAGAACUGUGGCAGUGGACAUUACCUUCAUCACAAUUUGCAAAUAGUCUAGCAAAGAUAAUGUUAAAUUAAUCCAUAUAUAUCACAUAACUGCGUGCACAUUGGGACACUAUGGAGUUUAUCAUAUCAAUAGUGUAUAACAGGGGGUGGAUGUUUCUAUUAAGAAGAGAAUCUCUUCUGAAAUGCUGCUUGCUUCUUCUUGCAGCCAACAAGGACUGGAAUCCUCUGGAUACAUCAUGUCUCAGGCCUGAGCACACACUGGCAGAGAGAACAUGCUGCUCUCUGGCAGGCCAGACAAUCAUGCCAAGCCAACAUCCAUUUUUAGAAGGACUAUGCUCCAUCCAGCGUCCCCAGCCAAAGAAUUAAUCCAACCUGUAGCAGUUUCUCCGCCCCUUUGUUACAAAAGCUGGCAACUGGCUGCCAAAAAUGACAGCAAAAUUUAAAUGUUCUUGCUGCUCUUUCUCCAUGCCAGUAGAGGGAGCUCUACCUAUCUACACAGCCAUCGGAGACGAGUAGAACCAAUGGAAGCUUUGUACCACCUCAGCCCUCCAUGUGGAUUUAUUACUGCAGCUUCAAUGGAUCGAAAUAAAAGGAUGGUGCAAUUCUACUCCAAUACGCUGACGACGUCACGGUUUAUAUGAGAGCUGCUUGUUCCUGCUUACAGGAAAUGUAGCUUUACAACAGGCAUGGUGACAUGCUAGGAUCCUUGGUUUCACAGUCCUGUGCUCAAACUAGGAAUAACAGUAACAAACCCACCUCUCUCCUCUUUUCUAUCUCUUCUUAAAGUAAAAAAAGAGCAGGGAAAAUGGAAUAAAACUUGCUGAUGUACUGCAGGUUUUUCUGGUACUAAAGACCUCUUGUUACGUCACCUAUUGGGAAGGAUAUUAAUGGAAAUGUCACGUUGAAUGAAAAAGACAAUGCUAACGACGUAGCUGACCCACAGAUCGUGUGUGUCGGCUUGCGUUACUUUCCACGGUUUGUUUCUAUCUACAUUCCAGAUUGGAACUGUUAAUACCUUUCGCUCCCUCUCUUCCUCACUUUUCUGCGUUUCUUGAAUGCUGAUUCGUCUUUAUUUCUAAUCCCCGCCCAACGAUCCUCAAUUUGCCAUGUCUUUAAAGAAGUGUCUAGUGGAUAAAAAAAAAAAAUAGGAAUUUGGAAUGCAUGGAACUUUAUAUCCAAGACCUUACACUGUUCAUCAUUACUUAACAGAGGCCAUAAAUACACUGGGAAACACAUCUUAGCUAGACGACGUAAACAAUAAAAAUGAAGAGAGAUUUCCGGAGCAUCACACAGGAAUUGGGCCACGGGAAUAAGAGGAGCCUUUUUCUUUUUCUUUUUAAGGAAAAAAAAUGGAUUGGUAUAUGGAGUGAAGCCGUAUGUGGUCGGGUUGUUUUUCAGCCAUUACAAAGCCAUUAAGACAACAUUUACCUGCAGUGCUUGUGGUGAUGGGGUUUCUCCAACUGCUCCACAACAUUUGGCUCUCAGAUAUUUCUCAUGUUGUUGGUGGUUAUCAUUUCUUGUGUUCUCUUCUCAUUUUUUCUAAUUUUGUUUUGUUAUUUGCCUGGUUUUUAUGUUGCAGGUUACCAAUAUCGCCUUAAUCAUUCUUAAAUAUUUUUAUUUUAAAGUAAAACUGGCAUAUUUUUUAUUAUACCCUGAGAACACAUUUUUUCAUCACACCCUUUUUUAUGUAGUUAUAUCAGCUGGAACACUGGCCACAGUGAGAUUAAUUUAUAUUUUUUAAAUUAACUUUGUUUUUGAUAAUUGUUUGUGAUAUAAUUUUUAUUUUAUUUAAGUUUUGUAAUGUUUUCAUCAUGCCCUCUGUGAAUUUUCUGACUCUUAUUUAUUAUCAAUACUUAUAAAAGCAAUAGAGUAAGAGGUAAGAAAGUAAAGAGCACAACAUUGUGUCAUUUUAAAAGUUGGUGGAGUAGAAACGCGGUGCCUCCAUCUGUCUUACUUAACACGGAUGUACUGCUUAAGUCUGACUUAACGUACCACCACCAACGUACUCCAAUAUUGUACUACUGCUGUACUAAUACAUCAGAGAGCAGGAGCUCACCUAUAAACACAAGUGUGGUACCACCCAGAUCUUCUCCAACAACCAACAGUGAGACGUCACGUCUUCACUCAGCCAGUCAGUGGAACGGAGUGACAUGCUGCUUGUGUUAGCCAGCUGGAGUCCGAUCUGAAAGCACUGCAGGGCAGCAGAGAGGCACUGAAAAGCAGACCAGUCACACAGCCCGGCAGAACUGGACUUUGUCACCUGCGGGGGUUUGGGUUUCAAUGUGAUUCUUCUGACCCUCCAAGAUGGAUGUUUAUUGGGGGCCCCGCCAAGCUCCUUUACACAUCAGUGUGUAUCAGCAUGUGUCUUCACUCUGUCAAAUGUGCACUGCACACGUGAAAGCACACUCGUAAAAUGGUGUGUAAAAGAAAGAAGAAAAAAAUAAAUCAGCACUCACGUGACUGAGUAACGGAAAAUAACUAACACACUUGGUUGUGUCACGAAGUCACUCGCCUUUUUUUAACUUUUCAUUUUCUAUCGUGGUGGCGUCCAGACCUGUAACCCAACCCCCGAAAACCUCU
ensembl:lncRNA